rnacentral:rRNA from 1 species
UACGUAGGAUGCAAGCGUUGUCCGGAUUUACUGGGCGUAAAGCGCGCGCAGGCGGCACUCUAAGUACGUCGUGAAAUAUCCCGGCUCAACCGGGAGGGUGCGAUGUAGACUGGAAGGCUUGAGUAUGGGAGAGGUAAGCGGAAUUCCUGGUGUAGCGGUGAAAUGCGUAGAUAUCAGGAGGAACACCUGCGGUGUAGACGGCUUACUGGACCAUCACUGACGCUGAGGCACGAAAGCGUGGGUAGCAAACAGG